UACAGAGGGUGCAAGCGUUGUUCGGAUUCAUUGGGCGUAAAGGGCGCGUAGGCGGUUGGGUAAGUCGGGUGUGAAAACUCCAGGCUCAACUUGGAGAUGCCACCCGAUACUGCUCUGACUUGAGUUCGGUAGGGGAGUGGGGAAUUCCUGGUGUAGCGGUGAAAUGCGCAGAUAUCAGGAGGAACACCGGUGGCGAAGGCGCCACUCUGGGCCGAAACUGACGCUGAGGAGCGAAAGCGUGGGUAGCAAACAGG
rnacentral:rRNA from 1 species